AUUGAACGCUGGCGGCAUGCCUUACACAUGCAAGUCGAACGGUAACAGGUCUUCGGAUGCUGACGAGUGGCGAACGGGUGAGUAAUACAUCGGAACGUGCCUAGUAGUGGGGGAUAACUACUCGAAAGAGUGGCUAAUACCGCAUGAGAUCUACGGAUGAAAGCAGGGGAACGCAAGACCUUGUGCUACUAGAGCGGCCGAUGGCAGAUUAGGUAGUUGGUGGGAUAAAAGCUUACCAAGCCGACGAUCUGUAGCUGGUCUGAGAGGACGAUCAGCCACACUGGGACUGAGAAACGGCCCAGACUCCUACGGGAGGCAGCAGUGGGGAAUUUUGGACAAUGGGCGCAAGCCUGAUCCAGCAAUGCCGCGUGCAGGAUGAAGGCCUUCGGGUUGUAAACUGCUUCUGUACGGAACGAAAAGCCCCGGGUUAAUACCCUGGGGUCAUGACGGUACCGUAAGAAUAAGCACCGGCUAACUACGUGCCAGCCGCCGCCGUAA
rnacentral:rRNA from 1 species